rnacentral:rRNA from 1 species
ACGUGGGCAACCUGCCCAAAAGAGGGGGAUAACACUUGGAAACAGGUGCUAAUACCGCAUAACCAUAGUUACCGCAUGGUAACUAUGUAAAAGGUGGCUAUGCUACCGCUUUUGGAUGGGCCCGCGGCGCAUUAGCUAGUUGGUGGGGUAAAGGCUUACCAAGGCAAUGAUGCGUAGCCGAACUGAGAGGUUGAUCGGCCACAUUGGGACUGAGACACGGCCCAAACUCCUACGGGAGGCAGCAGUAGGGAAUCUUCCACAAUGGGCGAAAGCCUGAUGGAGCAACGCCGCGUGGGUGAAGAAGGUCUUCGGAUCGUAAAACCCUGUUGUUAGAGAAGAAAGUGCGUGAGAGUAACUGUUCACGUUUCGACGGUACCUAACCAGAAAGCCACGGCUAACUACGUGCCAGCAGCCGCGGUAAUACGUAGGUGGCAAGCGUUAUCCGGAUUUAUUGGGCGUAAAGGGAACGCAGGCGGUCUUUUAAGUCUGAUGUUGAAAGCCUU